CGGAGGGGCUAGCGUUGUUCGGAAUUACUGGGCGUAAAGCGCGCGUAGGCGGCUUUGUAAGUUAGAGGUGAAAGCCCGGAGCUCAACUCCGGAACUGCCUUUAAGACUGCAUCGCUAGAAUUGUGGAGAGGUAAGUGGAAUUCCGGGUGUAGAGGUGAAAUUCGUAGAUAUUCGGAAGAACACCAGUGGCGAAGGCGACUUACUGGACACAUAUUGACGCUGAGGUGCGAAAGCGUGGGGAGCAAACAGGAUU
rnacentral:rRNA from 1 species